AGCAGCAGCCACGGUAAUACGUAGGGUGCGAGCGUUAAUCGGAAUUACUGGGCGUAAAGCGCACGUAGGCGGCUUGGUAAGUUAGAGGUGAAAGCCUGGAGCUCAACUCCAGAAUUGCCUUUAAGACUGCCGAGCUAGCAGGUGAGAGAGGUAAGUGGAGUUCCGAGUGUAGAGGUGAAAUGCGUAGAGAUCGGGAGGAACAUCAGUGGCGAAGGCGGCCAUCUGGGACAACACUGACGCUGAGGCACGAAAGCGUGGGGAGCAAACAGGAUUAGAUACCCGCGUAGUCCCUGUCUCUUAUAC
rnacentral:rRNA from 1 species